CGCGCGGCCGGGGUGUGAGGCGGCCCGAGCUGAGAGCCUUCGCUCUGCGCACCGAGUGCGUUCUCGUGGGUGUCCUGACUGACCGAACGCCUCAGAAAUCCCCGAUACUUCAUCGCAGGUUGCGUGGUCCUUCAUCGCGGCUUCGCGGAGCUGAGGGAUUGAUCAGCAGUGGACUUUGGCCCUUGACUAAAGGUUUUCACCAUAGACCAGGUCACAGUGAUUGUACUGGAAACCAUUCUGGAUAAAAUGAUAUCCACGUGGUUGAAGAAGAUGAAGGUGGUGCAGAUGGCCACGCUGACACUAUUGAUCCCAUUUAACAGUUUGGACUGUGACCAUGUUACAAUGCAGUGCACUGGCUGUGCAAGGAACUGAGUGCUUUUAAAGGGAAAUACAUGCAUUCUAACAAAAUCUUUCAUCCUCUUGCUUUUUCAUUUGUUUCUAAGCAAGACGUGGAGACUCCUCAGUCCAAGCUUUGCCUGUGCUGACCAGAGUUAGCUGUUCUACCCUGCUGGAAACACCCAGCCUGCUGCCUACUUGCCUGAGUUCUUACUCACGUCUUGAUUUGUUCUGAAUCCACCUUCACCUCAAAGCACAUCAGCCCAGGCUUUUACAAGGGAAUAAUUCUUUAUGCAUCUGAGUGCAAGUAAUAUGUGAAAAUGCAAAGGUUAUAUACAAUCAAA
rnacentral:lncRNA from 1 species